UACGUAGGUGGCAAGCGUUGUCCGGAAUUAUUGGGCGUAAAGCGCGCGCAGGCGGUCCUUUAAGUCUGAUGUGAAAGCCCACGGCUCAACCGUGGAGGGUCAUUGGAAACUGGGGGACUUGAGUGCAGGAGAGGAACGCGGAAUUCCAGGUGUAGCGGUGAAAUGCGUAGAUAUCUGGAGGAACACCGGUGGCGAAGGCGGCGUUCUGGACUGCUAUUGACACUGAGGAACGAAGCCAGGGAGCAACGGG
rnacentral:rRNA from 1 species